ACGACAGGAGAUAUGGCGAACUGAAUGCGCAGGGCGAAAAGAAUUGCUGCAAAGACGUCCGCUCUAGGCCUUUGGAGACAUCGUGGGAACUCCUUCCGGUACUAUACAAACUGCUGACGUGGCCGUGGACAUGUACAUGGAGAGUCAUGGUGGGACUUCAUGUACAUGGAUACAUGGUGGGAAUUCCUUCCGGCACCCCCGUACCGCAAAGCCAACGGUGGGGAAGGAGAAGUGCAGACGUGCAGGAAGACGAACGAGGAGGAACCAGGACGAGCGAGCAAUGGCAGGACUAGCUGGACCGUAAGUAAUAGCUGAAUUGUGCAUGACAACUUGACAUCCAUGCGGCACUCGCCACUUGCCACUGCAUAUUUCUUGUCCACUAACAAUGUCUCUCCUCUGCCCCCUGUGUGUCCACGGCCCUGUUGCUGAAUUGGCCCGAUGAAUCGAAUGUCUUCCGCAACUGGAACGGCCCCGUGAACACUGUCGCGUCGGCGACUGAAUGCGCAGGAGGGAAAAUAUUGCUGCGAAGACGUCUCCUCUAGACGACGGUAUAUCAUCCCGUGACGACCACAUUGAAGUCUGAAUUUGAAGUGGGAAGAUGCUUCAGCAACCACAUCGUACUUUUCCAAUGCUUUCAUUGUGCUUCUACUGUGCAUGUGUGUAACUUGUGGGGUAAACAUGUGAUGACAUUGUAUGCUGGCGACACGGUCAGAUGUUCAUGCGUCUAACGUACACCUGCAUGUUAUGCAUUGAAAAGGGUUUGCCACUUGCGAUCCUGGGACGAGUAUCAGGUCCGCUUUGUCCUGUGUGGGCUGUAUCAGAUUGCUGUUCACUUCUCUAUCUGUUGGAUAUGUGACUUUCUACAAGUUUCUGGUGUAUGAUGGCCACGUCCUUGCUUGUCACUUUGUAUGAUAUUACCUUCUGUAUUCGCUGCUUCCAUGGCAUGGUCUGCAAACUGCAAUCCUUGGGCAAAUGUCAUGUUUGCUAUGUUGUGCUUUGGCCGUCAGCUUGUCUACACGCUGUAGUUGAAUUAUUUUUGUUUCACAACUGACUUCCUCAAGUACGGUGGCCACUGCUUUGCAUGGCAUUAUA